GGGGUUGUGGCUCAGUGGUAGAGUGCUUGCCUAGCAUGCAUGAGGCCCUGGGUUUGAUUUCCGGCAUCACAU
rnacentral:tRNA from 1 species